AAAAAAAAAAAAAAAAAAUCCCUACCUUAUCAAUUCUGCAUUUUUAAAGUUUAGUCUAUUUAGAAAAAGGUAUAUAUAUUUUUGUCAUUACUAUUAAACUAUAUUAUCCUCAAAAUAGAAAAUGAAAUGAAUUUCCCAUCUAGUAACUCUGAUUGUUCAUUAGUCAUACAUAAUUUUUUAAAUUGCAAGUUCCUAGAAAAAUAAUCUCUCUCACAGUGAAAUCUAACGUCUUUAAUUACAGAAGAACUAUGAGGAGAAGGACUCCUAGGUGCUAAUAUUUAAGGAGAGUGGCAGCAAAAAGAAGUGUGGUAGUCAAAUUUUUCUUUACCAACAAGGCAGACAAAAAUCCUGGAGUAGUCAGCACAGCAUUUUAUAGAAAGAUCUAAUGUGAUCUCAGAUUUAAAUUAUUUUCUAGUGGUUAAGCAAUUAUUUAAUGUUUCCUGUCCCACACAAAAGAGACCAUGUCUGGAAAUAUGAAAACAAAAAGUUAAUAAGCAUGAGUUACAGGGCUUUAGAACUGUUGCAGCGUGGUUUUACAUUUAUAGACUCAUUUAACAAUAUAUAAUAGGUGAAAUAAAGAGAAAAAUGCACAAAAAAUGAACAAUUGAAUUUUUUCAUAUUUUUAAAACAGGACAUGGCAAAACCCAAAAUGUCUCCUGAGUUAGAAAAUUCAAAAUUUGUAACUUUCAUAUUAAGUUACAUUCUAAUUUAAAAAAUAAGCUAUAUGUAAAUAGACACAUUCAUUGAACUUUAAGAUCAAGGUAAACAAUCAAACUUUGUGCAUUUUACACUUUUAUAGGCAAGAAAAGAAAAAAUUGAUGUUUGGGAGUCUUAAGAAAUCAUCUCAUCCUCCACUCUUUGGAUGAAAAAACUCAAGAACAUGAAUUAAUGACCUGAGGUUGAAGUCAUUUGCCAGAGCUUGCCAGAGGUUUGCCAGUCAGGUUUCCUGGAUCUUAGUCUGUGAUCUGUUUAAGUGGCCAUUACUAAUAAUUCAUCUAGGUGAUUUAUAAUUGAUAUUUUCUAUGAAAAAAUUUUCAUAUGUAGCAUAGGCUUUUAUAAUAUCAAUUUUUAAUCAUGUAUUUUUAAUGCAAUCUUAAUGAGAAAACUUCCCUAUUCUAAAAGGGAAACCCCUAGUACUCCUGCUUUAUUUGAGCACCUCUGCUCCGCUCCACUUAUCCCAUCAUUGAUGAUAGAAAUGGUAAAAAGUUCUGAUUGUUAUACAAGAACUAAUAAAGGCCAAUACCCUUGAUAUAAUGAAAUUCUCAAUGUGCUCAGUUAUAUAUAGUUAAACAUUUAUGGCUUUAAGAAAGCACCUUUGUUAAAAUUCUUUUAGAAACAAUGUUAUGAAACUGAAACUCCUGUUUUUCUCAUUAACCUUUUUUUGUCAUGUAAGAUUUCUUAGGAAUGCAACUAUCAGGUUAUGGCAGAACACAUAGAUGAUGUGGCUAUUAAUUUAAUCUUGAACAAUUCAAGCAUUCUGUUGUGCACAAUGCAAUAUGUUAAUUAAAACAGGUAACAGCAAAACUCCUUGCUAUUACUUCAAUCUGUUUUCUAUCACUAUAUGUUUUAAUAUGUAUGUUCCUCCAAAAUCAAUAUGUAAAACUGGAACCCUAAAGUUAUACUAGUAUUGAAAGGUAGAGUCUUUGAGGGAGUGAUAAAGUCGUGAGAGUCCUGGCCCUAUAAAAAAAGGCUUCAGAGAGCUGCCUUCUAGUCCUCCAGCCCUUCUACCACAGGAAGAGGCAGGGUUCUCCGUCUAGGACCCAGCAACAAGGACCCAUCCAUCUUGAAGCAGAGAAUGAGUCCUUACCAGACAUUGGAGUCUGCUGAUGGCCUCAUGGUAGACUUCUCAGCCACCAGAACUAUAAGAAACAAAGUUUUAUUAUUUACAAAUCAUCAAAUUUGUGUUGUUGCAUUAUAGCAGCACGAAUGGAACAAGAUACUAUAUAGAUAAGAAAAUGAAUAGUUUUAAAUUUUUGUAAUUUAAAGAAUAUUUAUGUAACUCAAUACCUUUCAUUUGCAUUUUACAUAACUAUACCCAUUACAGAUACAUGUCCAAACUGAAUUAGUAAAUUUUGAUGUUUAUUUGCUGCACCUCUUGUCUGCCCCCAAGAUGGGAAGUGUAUGGCAUGUCUAGAGGCUCCCAGAAGAGAGGGAGAUCAAGCCAGCACUUGGUGGGCAGGAAGGAUUUGAAUAGUGAAGAAAAGCUAUUCCAGAUCUUGGAAAUCUGUAAAGUACAUAAAGAAGGAAGUUGCCUGGGUUGCCAAGUGUUGUUUUACCACACAAGGAAGUGGAAAAUGAGGCCAGAAAGAUAGGUUGAGGCUAGAUUAAAGGAAUUUUUAGUCCUAGUAUGAGGAAUUCACCUUUUUGCAUGAAAUUAUUUUAAAAGGUAGACAUAUAUUAUAGGAGAAAAAUGACCCAUCAAGAAAAAUGCUAUUGCAAUGGGGUAGGUAGUAGAGGCCUGAAUUAGGAUAGUGGCUAUGAGAAUAAAAUAAUGUACUCCAAAAUAGGAAAUGAAAGGAUUUGGUGACUACUCCCUGUGCAUUGCUCCCACAUCCUCCUCACUUCAGGCAGUCUAAACCGCAAUUUUUAUUCUAGAUAAUUGAAAGAAUAAUUAUAACAACAGCAAUAAAAAUAAAAGUAACCAACAUUCCUGUGGUGCUUAUUAUGUACCCAGCCCUUGUUUAAGUGUUUAAUCAUCUCAAAAACCUGGUGAAAUAAAUAGUGUCAUUCCCAUUUCAUUGAUGUGAAGUCUGAAGCAGAAGAGAUUAGAUGAUGGGCUCAAGGUCAUACAGAUAAUGAAUAGCAUACCUAGGACAGGAACCCAAACAGUUGGGCCCAGAGUCUGAAGGAAUGCUUCUCCCCAUGGUCUCAUUCACCAAGCGCUAGCUUGUGGCAGAUAGCCCUCGAGUUUCUAUCUAUUGAAGCUGAAGUGGAACGUCUGAGUGGGAAUAUGUAGCGGGUAAUCAAGACUGAGAUCUGAAAUUCAGAGAAUAGUCAAGAUUGAAGACAGGGAAUUGAGUACCGUGUACACCUUACUUAAUUGACUUGGGUAUUGAAGCCAUUCCAUUACCGAAUCUGAGAUCAGGGUCUAACCCAGGAGAGGAGGCGUGGUGCUGAGAGGUGAUCAAAACAAGAUUUUCAGACUGCUGGAAAAAAAUGCCUGCAGACUUGGUCACCAAACCUCUUGGUAGUUACAUCCUGCUUAUCUUUUCUUUCUCAUGUAUUCUAAUGAAUUGUAACAUAGUAUAUUGAUUUCCAUAUAAUUCCAGGAAAUGUGGUGGCUUAUAGUAUUUUCACGUUUGUUUUUAAGUUCUAACUUCUACCAGUUAUUUUAGGACCCUGAAAUACUCAAUAUGGCAAUAUACCAUGAAAUAUGAUGAGCUCAGACAUCAAGAACUCAAAGAGUUCAUGAUAGGAUCAUCGUUAAGAGAAACCACUUUGGAAAAAUGACUGGGUUUGGAUCUCAGCCCGGCCACUUACAAGUUUUCUGACAUUGAGCUUGUUAUUUUGUCUCUAAUAACACCCAUCUCAUGGGAAGGUUUAAAAAGGAUGACAUAUAUGUGUCGUUUCUUACUAUUCCUAUGAAAGAAGUCAGUAAAUUGUAGCUGUUACUAUUAUCUGAUCUCUAUAUGUAUACAAAUUGUAUGGACCUCUGAACAGAUAAAAAUUACCCAAGAUGCAUUUCCCUUCACUUUUUGAAGACACACUUCUUCAAGAGAUGUGUUUGCCAGAACACUUUAGUAUGUAAUCUAACCAGGACUUUGGAGAAGGAAAAGAUAAUGCCAUCACAAACAAUCCAUCACAUCCAAGACAAAUACAAGAUGGGCUCCCACUAACUGUUCUUGCAUAGGUAGGUAUUGUGUUAAAUUAGGUAAUCACGGGACCUUAGCAUUAAUCAGAGAUUACAUGCCAGAAAUAUUUAUCAGGAAAAUUUUAUAUCCAUUUAAAAGUUUCCCUAAAACCCAAAACAUAAAUAUUUAGUUGAAUAGAACUCAACCUCAGAAGUUUAGAAAUAUAUACAUGUAUGUCUCCUGAAAAAUAUAGAUUUGAAAGGUAUCAUUAUUUAUAGUGACAGAUGCUGUGUGUUUCUAUAGCCAAGUUUUAUGUCUUACCCUAGUGCAAAAAUAGUUCCCUCUAUGGAGGCUUUUCCUUUGUAAAGGACAAACUGUUGCUCAUGUCUAUUAUGAUGCCUCUAUUUAUAAGUUGGUAGGAGAUUCAAAAUUAACUUUUUAUACACACAUUGUUGACAUUUACAUAAAUAUCAUUUAAUAUUCACAAAAUCAGUAUGGGAUAAGUUAUGGUAUCUCCAGUUCCUGAGGCGGAAAUUGAAAUUCAGAAAAAAAGAAUAAAUUACUUAAGGUCAUAAGACUUUCAAGUAAUGAACUAGAAAUCCAAACUCCAGUCCCCUCCCCCAUACUGGGGAUUAAACCCAGAGCCUUCACACUGAACUACACUAUCAGCCCUUUUCAUCUUUUAUUUUGAGGCAAGAUAUCACUAAGUUAUUAAGUUACCCAGCCUGGGCUCAAACUCUCCCUGCCUUAGACUACCCAAGUCUUGUAAAUAUAAAAGUCUCAAUCUUUCAUAGCAUUACUGCCUCAUGAAAACCAUUGAUCAAGCUUUUCCCUUUAAGAAAUAGCUUUUGGAUAUUUUAUUGGAAGAAUGAGCUGUUGAUUAUAGAUAAGUGACUUAAACAUGACUGAAACUGAAUUUCCUAAAUGAUUUUUUAGGUUCCCAGAAGUCAUGGUACAAAUUUGAUGGUACAAGUGUUUAUAUGGCAGGUGACUCAGAGCAUGUUUUGCUGUUUUGGAAAACUAAAAGUUCAAGAAGCCUGGAAGUUCUCCUUUUAGAAAAAGAGCACUACUUUUAGGCUUGACUAAUGUUAAUGUAUGUAUGAUUAACAUUUAGUCGAAAUUAAAAUUCUAGGCUGAAGCUAUAGCUCAGUGGUAGAGCACUGCUUAAUUAUUGUUCAAGGUCCUAAAUUUGAUCCCCAACACCACAAACAUAAAUUUAAAAAAUAUAAUUCUUAAUACUGCAAUCCUCAGCAUGACCAAUGAAUAAUGUAGAAAUCAGUACCUGCGCUUUAUAUUUUUUGGUGAUGAUAAAGUAUAUUUUAAGUAACUGAAUUUUAAUAUUUGUAAACUCAUGAAUGAAUUAGAAAGAAACAUACUAAAAGAGGUCUUAGUAGGUAUAAAUGGCUGUGGUUGCCUUCAAUAUAAAAGAUUAUAGAUAUUCAUGCACAUAUGUUCAAACAUAAGCAAAUAUGCAGUUUUGUUUUGCUCCUGUUAUUUUAUCAUAUUACUUAUUACAAAUGAUUUAAUACUGUUGUGAUAGUCAAUACUGUAAGUUUUUUACUGUUAUAAUUCUGUGUUUCUUUAUCACAUCUUCCUAGACAUCAACCCAGAAAUACAGUGGUACUUUGGAUCAUGAACUUAUUUCUUUCCACAAUUCUGGUCGCAAACCAAAUUGGACAAGAAUCAAAUCAAAUUUCCCCAUGGGUUAACCAUUGAAUUUGAUUCAGUUCUCAUCCAAUUCAGUUUGCAACCAGAAUUACGGAAAGAAUUAAGUUCAUGAACCAAGGUACCACUGUACAAAUUUUGAAAGCAGCAGCCCUACUAUUUUAAAUUAGAUAUUCAUUGCUACAUGGAAUAGAUAUUUUUCAAGGGUUCUUAUUAUUCUUCAAUGCUGGGCCCCUCUUUUCAGAAUAAUGUUUUUAAAUCAUUAAAAUAGACAGGAUUAUUAAAGUCAAUUAUUUUGAAACAUACUCAAAAUAUUUUUGAAAUUUGUGAUGUGCUUUAAUUUAUACAUUAAAUGACAAGAUCUACCAACAGUCUAAUAGCUAUUAUAUAAUUGUUUCUCGGCCUUUUGGCUAAGAUCAAGUCUAUUAGCUAUUAUAUUUUCAAGUUGUGAUAAAGAUAAAUGACUUUACAAGAUAUCUGUAACAUCUAUACUAUGAUAGGAAAAGAUCUGUGUUUUCUAUUGGUGACAUCAGUGAUAAGUCAAAGGAACUGUUAAUAAUACUAGAUGUCUUCUGUCUAUUUAUAACGGAGAGAGAUACUAAAUUUCAGUUGAAUGAAAGUAAGACUAUAUUAGGGUUCUCUAGAAGAACAGAUUCAAUAUAAAAUAUAUACAUGAUUAACAAGGGAUUUUAUUAGAUAAAUUUACCGGCUCAUCUAAAAUGGCCAUCUGGGCACUGGAGAGCUAAGGGGGAUCCAGGAGCAGUCGAAGGCUGAUGGCCUGGAAGCUCACUGCGGGAUCACCAGUGUGAGUCUGCACAAGCCAAAGAGUUUGGGUUGCAUGGCUAAAGAGUCUGCCCAGGAAGGCUGAAGAAGCUGAACACCAAUAUUCAAAAGUAACUGCAAGGUCAGAGCUCCCCCCAAAACAAGGAAAACUUUUCCUUCCGUAUUCUCUCCAAGCUACAAGCCUAUUGGUUGGUGCCACCAGUGGGUCUUCUCCCCUCAGUUUGCUGACUUAUGAGUCAGUCAUCCACAGACACACUCAGAAUUUACUAAUCUGCUAGGCAGUUCUUACUCAAGUUGAUACAUUACAAUUAAUGAUCACAAAGAUGUACAUUUUUUUUUCCAACCAAAUAUAUACUACACAUGGGACUUCCUGGGUUCCACAGGACCCACAUUAAAAAUAACCUGUACUAAUCUAUUUUCUAAAUGCUUAUAUCAGCAAUGAUUUACUAUUAUUGUGUGCUACAGAGCUUCUACUUUAACAUCCUUAUAAUAUGCCAGUGCCUUUCUUCAGGUCUUCAUAAAUUCUCCCAUGGACCGUCUACAACAGCCUUCCGGCUGCUCUCCACCUACAGCGUUAUCCUCCCUCCCAACGCCAUUUCUCUACCAGCAUUCUCCAAACUUUGAAAACUGCACAUCUUGCUGCUAAAUGAUAUGAUUAAAGUCAUAUAGGAAAAUGACAAAUCAUUCAUCAAGAACCACAACCCGAAGUUACAGGGGUGAUAAAAUGGAGCUGAAAGCCAAAUAAUCCAGUCCCGGUCAUGCAGUUAACUACUCAAAUCCAGUCAUCUCGAGUGUGGUGUGUUCACACACCCUGCUUUCUCUUCUCCGCUGCUCUAUCUACCCGACUUGGUCAGCAGUCUCAUGCAUUACUAACUCUGUCUGGAGACAGCAGCCCAGGUGAAGUAUGCCUUCUAGAAAAGUGAGAAAUUACAGUGCCAAAGACACAGCCCUCUGAGGUGACUUAGAAUCAACUGGGCCGAGAUUCUGCACUUCUAGCAAGCUGCCUUGUGAUCCUAUCAUAUUGCUGCUGGUCCAUGGAUCCAAGCAGAGGAAGCUUAAGAAGACUGUUGUGGACAACAGUAGAUAAGAACUCAUCUUACUUUUCAAAUAAGGCCCUUUUUCUCACAGGUUCUGCGGAAGAAGAAACAAUCAGAGAGAUAACUCUGUGAGUUUUCACAAUAAAUGCAAUCAGCAGCACAAUAAAUUAUACAUUUUCAUCAUCCCUAGUAUACCUCCAUGUCCUUUGUGGCCAACCAGUGAGACCCCUUGAUCUGUUUUCUGCAGAAUGUCAUAUAAAAGAAAUCACAGCAUUUCAAUGCAGUCUUUUGAUAAUGGUUUCUUUCAUUAACUACAGCAUUAAAGCUUUAUUCUUGGUUUAUGUAUUAUUAUCACUUCCUUUUUUCACUGAGUUGUAUUUGCUUAUAUUGAUAUAUCACAUCUUGCUUAUCUAUUCCAUAAUUGAGAGAUUUUUUUUAUUUUGGUUAAUCUAAAAAUGGUAAAAAUGCAUGUAUAAAUUUUUGUGUGAAUGUAGGCUGUAUUUCACUUGACUAACAAGUGAAAUAAAAAUAACAAACAAUGAGAUUGCUGGGUUGUACGUCAAAUGUAUGUUUAUAAGAAACUAUCAAAGUGUUUUCCAUAGUUCUUUUCUUACAGUCUCACCAGAGUUCCAGGUUUAUUUUUGUAGUUUACUCACUCUCUCAAUGUCAUAAAUUAAUUUGCCUAUUCUUGAACAUCAAAUAAUGGAAUUAUUUAUGUGGCUUCUUUUGCUUAAUAUAAAGUUUGUAGAAUUCAUUCAUGUUAUUCCAUGUAAUAAGAGUUUAUUCUUUUUUGCU
ensembl:lncRNA